AGGAGCCGUGUGCAUUAAUAGUGCAAGCGCGGUUCUGAGAGGGGUUGUACAACAAUGGGAGCUGAUCAAUCGAU
rnacentral:misc_RNA from 1 species